GUGCCAGCCGCCGCGGUAAUACAGGGGGGGCAAGCGUUGUUCGGAAUUACUGGGCGUAAAGGGCUCGUAGGCGGCCAACUAAGUCACACGUGAAAUCCCCAGGCUUAACCUGGGAACUGCGUGUGAUACUGGAUGGCUUGAAUUCGGGAGAGGGAUGCAGAAUUCCAGGUGUAGCGGUGAAAUGCGUAGAUAUCUGGAGGAAUACCGGUGGCGAAGGCGGCAUCCUGGACCGACAUUGACGCUGAGGAGCGAAAGCUAGGGGAGCAAACGGGAUUAGAAACCCUAGUAGUCC
rnacentral:rRNA from 1 species